AGUUCUUCCCGGCCGCCGCCGCCUCCGCCCCGCCGCUUCCUCCUCCGCCUGCCGGCCUCCUUCGCCCCGCCCCGUCCGCGCAGCUCGUCCGGCCCGCCCGCAGGCCAGCUUCUCUCGGGAGCCUCCACCCAGGCGCAUGGCUCCAUGAAGCAAGAGGAGGAGGCAGAGCGCGAGAGAUCCCGUCCGCCCCAGCCGCGUCUGGGCCAGGAGAAAAGCAAAACCAUAUUCCUGCUGCUGUCAGUUUUGAUGCACUGAGAAAACUUCAGAGACCUAAGCUUUUUCCAGAGAAGAGAAGCUUUACUGGUGUUCCAGCCCUAAGAAACCUUUGUUCAACAAAACUGCAGAUGCUCUGUUGAAUCCACUGGAGAUUGUCCUGAUACUAAGGACAAGUAUCAACCAUCUUUCCUGUGAAAAAUUCCCUCUCCUAGUACUUUAGUUCUGUGGAUCCAAAAUUUAUAGCAUUCUUCUACCACCACAGGGGCUCAUAUGACAUUAACAGACAAGACACUUUUCAGAAAGACAGGCAACGUGUUGGACCUUCCGGAGCUUCUCAGAAGACAGAGGGUUUUCUUUUGAGGCUGUUGUACAGUGGCCUGAUUAUAGCUCACUGUAGCCUCGAAAUUCUGGGCCGAAAUGAUCCGCCUGCCUCAGCCUCCAAAGUAGCUGAGACUACAGGCUGGUCUUGAACUCUUGGGCUGAAGAGAUUCUCCCACCUCAGCCUCCCAAGGUGUUGAGAUUACAAGCAUGAGCCACCUCACCUGGCCAAGAGCUAGUUGUUAAA
rnacentral:lncRNA from 10 species